UACGAAGGGGGCUAGCGUUGCUCGGAAUGACUGGGCGUAAAGGGCGCGUAGGCGGCGAUCACAGUCAGGCGUGAAAUUCCUGGGCUCAACCUGGGGGCUGCGCUUGAUACGUGGUUGCUUGAGUGUGGAAGAGGGUCGUGGAAUUCCCAGUGUAGAGGUGAAAUUCGUAGAUAUUGGGAAGAACACCAGUGGCGAAGGCGGCUAACUGGUCCAUUACUGACGCUGAGGUGCGAAAGCGUGGGGAGCAAACAGG
rnacentral:rRNA from 1 species